GCUCACUCCCCCCUCCGCGCGCAGUUCACCGUCCCGGAUCUCCGUCCCGGCACGCUCGACUCCCUGCUCGCGCUCAGCGACGACCUCGUCAAGUCCAACAUCUUCAUCGAGGGUGUCUCCCACAAGAUCCGCCGGCAAAUCGAGGACCUGGAGCGCGCUGGAGGGGUCGAGCCCGGCACCCUCACCGUCGACGGCGUCCCCGUCGACAGCUACCUCACCAGGUUCGUGUGGGACGAGGGCAAGUACCCCGUCAACGCCCCGCUCAAGGAGACCGUCGCCACCAUCCAGUCCCAGGUCGCCAAGAUCGAGGAUGACAUGAAGGUAACUAACUCUGCUUCUCUC
rnacentral:rRNA from 1 species